AUUUACUUUAUCGUAAAUUUACUUUAAAGGGUGGUGCGGGUUUAUCGUCCACGCCUUUACUGACAUUUACUGAUAUUUACUUUAUCGUAAAUUUACUACUGACAUUUACUGACAUUUACUUUAUCGUAAAUUUACUUUAAAGGGUGGUGCGGGUUUAUCGUCCACGCCUUUACUGCUUUACUGUCAUUUAAAUGUAUGGAGUAGAAUUAGUGCCCAUACAAGCACAUUUACUUUAUCGUAAAUUUACUUUAAAGGGUGGUGCGGGUUUAUCGUCCACGCCUUUACUGUCAUUUAAAUGUAUGGAGCAGAAUUAGUGCCCAUACAAGCACGUUUACUUUACCGCACAUUUAAAGUAUGGUGCGGGAUUAACGUCCAUACAGCAAUUUAAUUUAUGAAUUUACUUUACCGCACAUUUAAAGUAUGGUGCGGGAUUAACGUCCAUACAAGUAAUUUAUUUAACAGUAAAUUUAUUUUAUGGAUUAAUUGUGCUGUAUGAUGAGUUUUUACAGUAUACAGAUCAGGACCAGAAGUUCCUUGAUCCUCAUCAUACAUUUACAUCAGGACUUGAAGAUCCUUGAUGAUGAUAUUGAUAUGAGAGCUGGCAGUCUCUCCGGUACUAUAUUUGUAAACAUGUGAUCGGACUUAAGGGUCCUUGAUCCCUGACAUGUGAAUAAGGACCUGAGUUUCCUUAAUGAUGUAACAGUACCGUAUUGGUUAAAAGUGCCGUACACAUGAAUAAUAACUGUACUGGCAAAUGUACUGCACAUAUGAAUAGAUAUGUAUUCAUGAUUGAUGAAUAGUACUAUUCACAUGAAUAGUGACGUAUGCAUAAAUAUUAACCAUUUUGGGUAAACCGUCACUAUAUACAAAAGGGAACCUGCAGUUCCUUAAACUCAUG
rnacentral:lncRNA from 1 species